rnacentral:pre_miRNA from 1 species
UCCCACGCUGUGGCCCUCUAGAGGAAGCACUUUCUGUUUGUUGUCUGAGAAAAAACAAGGUGCUUCCCUUUAGAGUGUGACCGUUUGGGA